UCCGGUUGAUCCUGCCGGACCCGACUGCUAUCAGAGUGGGACUAAGCCAUGCGAGUCAACAUAGCAAUAUGUGGCAUACGGCUCAGUAACACGUAGUCAACAUGCCCAGGGGACGUGGAUAACCUCGGGAAACUGAGGAUAAACCGCGAUAAGUCACUGCUUCUGGAAUGGGCAAUGACUUAAAUCUAUAUGGCCCCUGGAUUGGACUGCGGCCGAUCAGGCUGUUGGUGAGGUAAUGGCCCACCAAAACCUGUAACCGGUACGGGCUCUGAGAGGAGGAGCCCGGAGAUGGGCACUGAGACAAGGGCCCAGGCCCUAUGGGGCGCAGCAGGCGCGAAACCUCUGCAAUAGGCGAAAGCCUGACAGGGUUACUCUGAGUGAUUUCCGUUAAGGAGAUCUUUUGGCACCUCUAAAAAUGGUGCAGAAUAAGGGGUGGGCAAGUCUGGUGUCAGCCGCCGCGGUAAUACCAGCACCCCGAGUGGUCGGGACGUUUAUUGGGCCUAAAGCAUCCGUAGCCGGUUCUGCAAGUCUUCCGUUAAAUCCACCUGCUUAACAGAUGGGCUGCGGAAGAUACUAUAGAGCUAGGAGGCGGGAGAGGCAAGCGGUACUCGAUGGGUAGGGGUAAAAUCCGUUGAUCCAUUGAAGACCACCAGUGGCGAAGGCGGCUUGCCAGAACGCGCUCGACGGUGAGGGAUGAAAGCUGGGGGAGCAAACCGGAUUAGAUACCCGGGUAGUCCCAGCUGUAAACGAUGCAGACUCGGUGAUGAAUUGGCUUUAUGCCAAUUCAGUGCCGCAGGGAAGCCGUUAAGUUUGCCGCCUGGGGAGUAUGGUCGCAAGACUGAAACUUAAAGGAAUUGGCGGGGGAGCACCACAAGGGGUGAAGCCUGCGGUUCAAUUGGAGCAACGCCGGAAAUCUUACCGGGGGCGACAGCAGAAUGAAGGUCAAGCUGAAGACUUUACCAGACAAGCUGAGAGGAGGUGCAUGGCCGUCGCCAGCUCGUGCCGUGAGGUGUCCUGUUAAGUCAGGUAACGAGCGAGACCCCUGCCUCUAGUUGCUACCAUUAUUCUCAGGAGUAGUGGAGCUAAUUAGAGGGACUGCCGUCGCUGAGGCGGAGGAAGGAGGGGGCUACGGCAGGUCAGUAUGCCCCGAAACCCUCGGGCCACACGCGGGCUGCAAUGGUAAGGACAAUGAGUAUCGAUUCCGAAAGGAGGAGGCAAUCUCUAAACCUUACCACAGUUAUGAUUGAGGGCUGAAACUCGCCCUCAUGAAUAUGGAAUCCCUAGUAACCGCGUGUCACUAUCGCGCGGUGAAUACGUCCCUGCUCCUUGCACACACCGCCCGUCGCUUCAUCGAAGUUGGUUCUUGGCGAGGUGAUGCCUAAUUGGUACUAUCGAACCUGGGGUCAGCAACGAGGGAG
rnacentral:rRNA from 1 species